rnacentral:lncRNA from 1 species
UCAUGAAGGCAGUGGAAAUUAUUUGAAAAUACUUCACAGAUGUUUUCUUGAGCCGUUUGUACUCAUGUGGGCCUUUUUUUUCCCAGACAGAGGGAUGCUGACGGUCCAACAGGUCCUCCCCACGAUUUGUCUGCACCUUGGCUACAGAAAACCCACGCUGCUGUAACAGUGCCAAUAUGUGGAUGAAUAAUGAUCAUGUUUGCUGUUGGAAACCCAUCAUGGAGCUUUAAGACUCAUGUGUCUGCGUCGUUAUGUUUGACUUGUACUGUGACUGAAGAGGCAUCCAGGAGAACGGUCUGCUUCACUGGCAUCCUAACGUAAGUAACAACCUUCUGCACAGCCUCCUCUCUAGUGUAAUCUGUUGCUCUAGACGAAUACAUUAUGCUACAGUAUAUUUGCAGAUAUCGUGUGAUCAGUGGGACUCCUUGCCUUGAAAGUGUUUUAAAGGCGAGGCAGUCGCUGUAAAAGAGGACGCGUCUGGCCUUGACAAUUCGGCGUGUGUCUGAAUCAUUCACUUUUCAACGCGGAGCAGGUUUUUACAUCUUUUU